rnacentral:misc_RNA from 1 species
AGGGCUUGACAUGCGGGGUGAAACCGGUGAAAGCCGGUGCUCCUUCGGGAGCCCGCACAGGUGCUGCAUGGCUGUCGUCAGCUCGUGCCGUGAGGUGUUGCCUUAAGUGGCGCAACGAGCGCAACCCCUGUUCGAUGUUGCCAGCGGGUAAAGCCGGGGACUCAUCGGAGACUGCCGGUGCCAAACCGGAGGAAGGUGGGGAUGACGUACCACGCAA